UCGAGCGGUAACAGAUUGAUAGCUUGCUAUCAAUGCUGACGAGCGGCGGACGGGUGAGUAAUGCCUGGGAAUAUACCCUGAUGUGGGGGAUAACUAUUGGAAACGAUAGCUAAUACCGCAUAAUCUCUUCGGAGCAAAGAGGGGGACCUUCGGGCCUCUCGCGUCAGGAUUAGCCCAGGUGGGAUUAGCUAGUUGGUGGGGUAAUGGCUCACCAAGGCGACGAUCCCUAGCUGGUCUGAGAGGAUGAUCAGCCACACUGGAACUGAGACACGGUCCAGACUCCUACGGGAGGCAGCAGUGGGGAAUAUUGCACAAUGGGGGAAACCCUGAUGCAGCCAUGCCGCGUGUAUGAAGAAGGCCUUCGGGUUGUAAAGUACUUUCAGUUGUGAGSAASACAUURAAGUUAAUAGRUUGAGCGCUUGACGUUAGCAACAGAAGAAGCACCGGCUAACUCCGUGCCAGCAGCCGCGGUAAUACGGAGGGUGCGAGCGUUAAUCGGAAUUACUGGGCGUAAAGCGCAUGCAGGCGGUCUGUUAAGCAAGAUGUGAAAGCCCGGGGCUCAACCUCGGAACAGUAUUUUGAACUGGCAGACUAGAGUCUUGUAGAGGGGGGUAGAAUUUCAGGUGUAGCGGUGAA
rnacentral:rRNA from 1 species